rnacentral:rRNA from 1 species
CAGUCGCCGCGGGAAUACGAAGGGGGCUAGCGUUAUCCGGAUUUAUUGGGUUUAAAGGGUGCGUAGGCGGCCUAUUAAGUCAGGGGUGAAAGACGGUAGCUUAACUAUCGCAGUGCCUUUGUUACUGAUGGGCUUGAAUACACUUGAGGUAGGCGGGAUGUGACAAGUAGCGGUGAAAUGCAUAGAUAUGUCACAGAACACCAAUUGCGAAGGCAGCUUACUAAAGUGUCAUUGACGCUGAGGCACGAAAGCGUGGGGAUCAAACAGGAUUAGAUACCCCCGUAGUCCCUGUCUCUUAUAC